rnacentral:SRP_RNA from 1 species
UCUAUAAAAUUAAAAGCAAACCCAGCCACUCAGGAGGCUGAGACAGGAGGAUCACUUAAGCCAGAGUUGUAGGCUUUAGUGAGCUGUGCCAAUUGGGUGUCUGCAGUAAGUUUGGCAUCAAUAUGGUAAUCUCCUGAGAAAGGGGGCCACCAGGUUGCCUAAGAAGGGGUGAACUGGCCCAGAUGAGAAACAGAGCAAUUAAAAACUCCUGUGCUGAUCAGUAGUCAGCUUGCACCUGUGAAUAGCCACUCCAGCCUGGGCAACAUACCAAGACCCUGUCUCU